rnacentral:rRNA from 1 species
CCUACGGGUGGCAGCAGUGAGGAAUAUUGGUCAAUGGACGAGAGUCUGAACCAGCCAAGUAGCGUGAAGGAUGACUGCCCUAUGGGUUGUAAACUUCUUUUAUAUGGGAAUAAAAUGUUCCACGUGUGGGAUUUUGUAUGUACCAUAUGAAUAAGGAUCGGCUAACUCCGUGCCAGCAGCCGCGGUAAUACGGAGGAUCCGAGCGUUAUCCGGAUUUAUUGGGUUUAAGGGGUGCGUAGGCGGACAGUCAAGUCAGCGGUAAAAUUGCGGUGCUAAACGCCGUACAGCCUUUGAAACUGGCAGUCUUGAGUGGGCGAGAGGUAUGUGGAAUGCGUGGUGUAGCGGUGAAAUGCAUAGAUAUCACGCAGAACUCCGAUUGCGAAGGCAGCAUACCGGCGCCCGACUGACGCUGAGGCACGAAAGCGUGGGUAUCGAACAGGAUUAGAUACCCGGGUAGUC